rnacentral:rRNA from 1 species
AUUGAACGCUGGCGGCAGGCUUAACACAUGCAAGUCGAACGAGUGGCGGACGGGUGAGUAAUGCUUGGGAAUCUGGCUUAUGGAGGGGGAUGACGACGGGAAACUGUCGCUAAUACCGCGUACCAUAGGAUGAGCCCAAGUGGGAUUAGGUAGUUGGUGGGGUAAUGGCCUACCAAGCCGACGAUCUCUAGCUGGUCUGAGAGGAUGACCAGCCACACCGGGACUGAGAGACGGCCCGGACUCCUACGGGAGGCAGCAGUGGGGAAUAUUGCGCAAUGGGGGCAACCCUGACGCAGCCAUGCCGCGUGAAUGAAGAAGGCCUUCGGGUUGUAAAGGACUUUUGUUAGGGAAGCGGUACCUAAAGAAUAAGCACCGGCUAACUACGUGCCAGCCGCCGCGGUAAUAC